UGCAAUUUUCCAUCCGCUCCACCAGGCGGCGGAAUCAGGCUUUAGGUUCAGUUUGACACAUUCAGAUGCUGCUUGACAACAUGACGCUUGAUAACAGUCACAACAACACGUGCAGACUGAUUUAACAAAUUCUGCAGAUGACAGGUCAGUUACAGACUCAUAAUAUCACUUGGCAGCACACACUUCAGCCCAUAAACAAACAAAACAGACAAACGCUGCGAUAAAGUGCAGUAGUGGAAGAUGUCACGCGACUCACCUAAUAAGGGAUGUUUGGACCGUUACAUUCAGCCAACAGAAGCAUGUGGACAGACAUUGACUGUAAUGAUGGACAUCUGCUGAUGCACAGGCAGAAAUAUAACCCCUGCUGGACAUUGUGCUGGAGCUCGGGGGGACACCAUGAUCCCCCACGCCUUCUCAGUCACACCAGACCAUUCACUCAUAUCACGGAGAUCUGGCUGGACUCGAACCAGCAACCUCUGAAACCGUGAGGCAGCACUCUUACCACUGAGCCACAGAUCUCUUGCCUGAACAUGUGCAGGAACUUAUAUUUCACUAUUAACCCUGUCAUUUUACAAUAAACCAGAUA